GUAGGGAAUAUUGGACAAUGGGGGCAACCCUGACGCAGCGACGCCGCGUGAGUGAUGAAGGCCUUCGGGUCGUAAAGCUCUGUUGCAGGGGAAUAAAAAAAUGAAGGUACCCUGUGAGGAAGGAUCGGCUAACUUCGUGCCAGCAGCCGCGGUAAGACGAGGGAUCCUAGCGUUGCUCGGAAUCAUUGGGCGUAAAGAGGGCGUAGGUGGCUUGGUAAGUCAGGUGUGAAAGCCCAGGGCUCAACCCUGGAAGUGCAUUUGAUACUGCUGAGCUUGAGUGUCGGAGAGGUUACCGGAAUACCUGGUGUAGUGGUGAAAUACGUAGAUAUCAGGUGGAACACCGGAGGCGAAGGCGGGUAACUGGACGAACACUGACACUGAGGCCCGAAAGCGUGGGGAUCAAACAGGAUUAGAAACCCCGGUAGUCC
rnacentral:rRNA from 1 species